rnacentral:rRNA from 1 species
GACGAACGCUGGCGGCGUGCUUAACACAUGCAAGUCGAACGGAAAGGCCCUGCUUUUGUGGGGUGCUCGAGUGGCGAACGGGUGAGUAACACGUGAGUAACCUGCCCUUGACUUUGGGAUAACUUCAGGAAACUGGGGCUAAUACCGGAUAGGAUCUCCUGCUGCAUGGUGGGGGUUGGAAAGUUUCGGCGGUUGGGGAUGGACUCGCGGCUUAUCAGCUUGUUGGUGGGGUAGUGGCUUACCAAGGCUUUGACGGGUAGCCGGCCUGAGAGGGUGACCGGCCACAUUGGGACUGAGAUACGGCACAGCCUCCUACGGGAGGCAGCAGUGGGGAAUAUUGCAUAAUGGGCGGAAGCCUGAUGCAGCAACGCAGCGUGCGGGGUGACGGCCUUCGGGUUGUAAACCGAUUUCGCCCGUGACGAAGCGUGAGUGACGGUAAUGGGUAAAGAAGCACCGGCUAACUACGUG